rnacentral:rRNA from 1 species
UACGUAGGGCGCAAGCGUUGUCCGGAAUUAUUGGGCGUAAAGAGCUCGUAGGCGGUUUGUCACGUCGGAUGUGAAAGCCCGGGGCUUAACCCCGGGUCUGCAUUCGAUACGGGCAGACUAGAGUGUGGUAGGGGAGAUCGGAAUUCCUGGUGUAGCGGUGAAAUGCGCAGAUAUCAGGAGGAACACCGGUGGCGAAGGCGGAUCUCUGGGCCAUUACUGACGCUGAGGAGCGAAAGCGUGGGGGAGCGAACAGG